rnacentral:rRNA from 1 species
AGCUCCAAUAGCGUAUAUUAAAGUUGUUGCAGUUAAAAAGCUCGUAGUUGGAUUUCGGGAUGGGCCAGUCGGUCUGCCGCGAGGUAAGUUACUGGCUGGUCUGUUCUUCCUCGCAAAGAAUGCGUGUGCUCUUCAUUGAGUGGGCGUAGGAUUUGCGACGUUUACUUUGAAAAAAUUAGAGUGUUCAAAGCAGGCUUACCGCUUGAAUACAUGAGCAUGGAAUAAUGGAAUAGGACUUUGGUCUUAUUUUGUUGGUUUCUAAGACCGAGGUAAUGAUUAAGAGGGACAGUUGGGGGCAUUCGUAUUUCGUUGUCAGAGGUGAAAUUCUUGGAUUUACGAAAGACGAACAACUGCGAAAGCAUUUGCCAAGAAUGUUUUCA